rnacentral:tRNA from 1 species
GAAAUAAGAGAUUCAAAAAUAAGCUUCUAACUUAAAUUUUAAGCGGUGAAACUCCGUUUUUAUUUCU